ensembl:lncRNA
GCCUCCUCCAAUCAGCGGCUGGGCUGGCGAGCAGGGGUUAACCAGGGGACCCCGCACCGGCUGAGCAGGCCGCGCCUGACAGGGCGGCUGAGGGCGGGCAGCGGGCGGCGCUGGCGGCUGACUGCGACGUGAGGGGCGAUUGGUUUGCUUGGGGGCGCCGGGUGAGCGGCCAGGCCGAAGCCUCGGGGGCCGCCUUUGUGUAAACGGAGCUGGAGGCCGACGGUUGGGCUGCGUCUCAGGCCGCGGAGCAGCGUCGGAGUGGCCCGGCCGCCGCGCCUGCCCUGUCUCUGGUCUACACACAUUUUGGGUGAGGAGUGAGGUCGCUCUGCCCAGCGAUGGAUAGGAGAAGAAGAGGGGCGCGUGGGGGUUGGGGGUAGAGAUCGUUGAGUUGUUGACGCCCACCCGAUGUCCGCCCGCCCGCCCGCCAUUCCGUCCAGGUCCCCAGACCCCACGCCACAGGCACAGAAAGCCGGCCGCCCUGGCCUUCCACGUACCUGACUGGCUGGGCGUCUCCAGGGACAAAGGUGUCCUGGGAUCAGAGCCGAGCCCUCACUAGCAUGCCCCCUCCACAGCGGAGGACGCUCCCCCCCGGGGGACACUCAGAAUACCUAGCGGGAGGUUCUAUUUCAACCUCCGGUGACAAAACGGGCCUCCCGGAGUGCUCGGGGGCUCUGAGGGUAAAUGCCAGAAUGGGAAAACAGGCCUGCUCUUCACAGAGAGUCUGCUGGGAGGGUGAGCGCCUUCGACUGGAGGGCUUCCUGCAUGGGAUCUGACCCCCGCGCCAAAGGGGGAAAAAGGCACUUUCUUCACCUAGUUUCGUGAGCCAAGACACUGACUUCAAAGUUACUGCUCGGCUUUUUGUUUUCUUCUCAUGCUUCUUCCUUGACCAGAUGUCUGAACAUGACCGAAGGACUACAAGAGAAACAUUCAGGCUUUUAAACAGCCGGCUUGAACUUUUCCAGGCGUCGGCAAGUACUCCAAAGUAGAGUUCUGUUCGUAUUUCUGACUAACUUUUCCACAUAUUGACUGGACAGAGACCUGCCAAUGGGCAAAGGAUGACAAAUUCCUUCUUGGAUGUUCUCCAUCCUUCAGAACUCAAUCACUGUAGAAAAACUCAAAUCGGGAGUCAUCUUCCAGAUUCCAGAUUGCUUGGAAAGAUAUUUUUGAAAGGAAGAGAGGAAGAGCAAGUCAGGAGCAGAGGGUAGGGAAAAGGGGCAAGGAGGAGCCCCCAGAAUGCAGUGAGUCUCAACCAUGAAAAUGAUGGAGAACCAAAGGAUAGUGCACCGUGGCUCCUCCUCAAGUGUGCACAGUGGGAAAACAAGGGCAGUUCUUAAAUAACAGUGGGAUCAAAAAAAAUAAUAAUAAAAUAACACCCACACUCCCAACACUUGAGAGGCUGAGAUGAAACAAGAUGGCUUUCCUGGGAUUGUCAAGACCAAAAGAAACGGGGCUGGAGAGAUGGCUCAUUGGUUAAGAGUUGGCACUGUUCUUGCAGAGAUCCUGGGUUUGCUUCCCAGCACCAGUAUGGGGCAGGCCACAACCACCUGUUAACUCCAGCUCCAAGACAUCUACAUCCAUAAGGCUUCCACGAACACUGCAUUUAUGUGGACACAGAUAAUUACAAAUAAAUCUGAAAAGAAUAUGGCCUGCAACUCACUAUGCAGCAUGGGCUAGCCUCAGGUGGUCCUUCAACCUCUUCUAAAGUCCUGGGAUUACAGGACUUGCAGCCACUAUGCACAGCCUAAAAAUAACUCCUUAAAUGACACUGGAGUGUCAUAAAUUAGGAGAGGAGACCAGAAGAGAAAGAGGAAUGGACAGAGUUGAAGCUGAGUUCUUCCAGCUGGUCCACAAACAAGUUGUCUGGGCCAAUUAUCGUUUCAAGUUUCGCCAUCCUGUGCUAGAGCUAGAGGAUUCCCAGUGCCCUUUCUAGAACAUAGGUCCCAUUUUCGGUUUUUGGUUUUGAUAAGUCUAAUGUAGCUGAGGCUAACCUAGAUCUAGUGUGGCUGAGGAUGCAGUCAAACUUCUGGUCCUCCUGCCCUACAUUCUAAGAGCUAGGAUUAAUUACAAGCUAGGCAGGCAGUCUACCAACUGAACUACAUUCCCGCACACAGACUCACCUUUAUCUGUUUUCUGAGAGUCUCACUAUGUAGCCAAGAUUGGUCUAAAUUCUCAGUCCUCUUGCCUCAGGCCCUAGGAGCUGUCGUUACAGGCAUCCGCCCUGAUGCCUGUCUCCUGAGUGCAUUUUUAAAAGAACCGUUUGAACACGGAUGAAAUUUUUAGUUUCACUUUUUUGGUGGGGGAUGUGGGGGGAUGCAGGGGUUUGAAACAGGGUUUCUCUGUGUAGCCCUAGCUGUCCUGAAACUCACAAGAGAUCCCCCUGCCUCUGCUGAGCUGAGAUUAAAGGUUGAGCUCACUCAGGGCUAUUUCCAGCCUGAACUGGCCCAGUGGAAUCCACCCCUUCCUGUUUGUAAGAAAAAAAAAAAAGAAAGAAAGAAAACAAAGGUAUAAAAGUCUCCCUGCACAGUAGGAGCCGGAACUUGGGUCCGGACUCUCACUUGGGUCGGAAGCAACAGGGGUGGAGUCUGAGCAGCUUCCGGAGUCCCAGACAUGAGCAAGCAGAGCAGCAGAAGGCGACGCGAACGCAAGUGGUGCAGCAGUGGGCACAGGUUAGAUUCUGAAGGAGCCCAGGAAAAG